CGGAGGGUGCAAGCGUUAUCCGGAUUCACUGGGUUUAAAGGGUGUGUAGGCGGAUUUUUAAGUCAGUGGUGAAAUCUCCGGGCUCAACCCGGAAACUGCCAUUGAUACUAUUAGUCUUGAAUUCUGUUGAGGUGGGCGGAAUACAUCAUGUAGCGGUGAAAUGCUUAGAUAUGAUGUAGAACACCGAUUGCGAAGGCAGCUCACUAAGCAGACAUUGACGCUGAGGCACGAAAGCGUGGGGAUCAAACAGGAUUAGAUACCCUGGUAGUCCACGCCCUAAACGAUGAUUACUCGACAUACGCGAUACACAGUGAGUGUCUGAGCGAAAGCAUUAAGUAAUCCACCUGGGAAGUACGACCGCAAGGUUG
rnacentral:rRNA from 1 species